CGGCAACCACUCCUCAGCCGUGAGCGCGGACGCCUGCGCCGAGGAGACGUGCUGCCUCUUCCACCCCUCCCGCGCGGGAAUUGGCACGACGCCCCCUGGCGGCCGGGAGGAGCAGUGCUUCUUUCCUUCGUCUGGUGGAGCUCUAUGAAGGGACUGCAACUGCCAUUGAAAUUCCUACGUCUUGCUCGUGGUUGGCUGAAACCAGACAGCGAGUUCCAGAGGUACCAAAGGGAGGAACAGAGAGGCAAACAACACAGUCACACAGGCUGGGCUCCCCUCAGAACCUGGUGAUAAACGCUGAAAGGAAGAUCCUUAUCAGCUUCCCCUGCUCACAGCAAUCGUCCCCUGCCACAGCCUGAACCUCCCGUGUGACCUUAGAGGCCAUAGAAACGCACCAUGCAAAGUACCCAGCACACAGAUCAGUUGUGCACGUCAUACCUGGCACAGUUCUGUCCUUCUCUGCUGGGAGGUUCCUUCAUCUAAACGUCUAAACAAGCUGUCCUUUGUCCCUUCACUGCCAAGCCUGAGAUCCCUCUAGACUUAUAAUCAUGAAAAGCCAGAGUGACAGCACUACAGAUUACUGUCAAGGCCUCGUUCCAUCAAUUUAUACGUCUCUUCCUUUUAACAUGAGGCCAAUAAAACGAAUCUGGAUGUUCCACUUGCUGAAUUAUACUGGCUAGCAAAGAAUGGCUCAGUUAUUGUCACAGGAUAUCUUCAGCUAGCGAGAGAUUUGCCCUUCAUCCAAGCAGGAGCCCAUGACCACAGUGCAGAAGGCUGUGAGUAUUAUCCCCAUUUUCUUCUGUCUUCCUCUGUCUUAAAACGAGUUCCUGUGAUGCUACAGGGUGCGGCUCCAUCUGGUGACUGCCUCACACUGACAAACAAACGCCGCUUACCCCAAACAAAUAUGCUAACUGCAAAGGUGGCAGAUGCUGCCUGCCCUCGUGGCAGGUGGAAAUCAGACCAGAUCCAGAUUGUACCACAUCCAUUCGUUGCAGUUAUUAUCC
ensembl:lncRNA